CCUACAAUAACAUGCAAGACAACCUCUAUUUAUAGGUGAGAUAUCAACUCUUGUAUUGAAUAACAAGAAUGUGGUGUAGUAAAAUGGGUACAUGAAUGGUCGGAUGUUACAUGAGUUACAAGCAUAAUUACAUAGUAUAAUGGGCAAAUAAAGACUUAGUGGUUAGAGGAAUUUCAAGAAACUCAUGGCCACAUUCUUCCACUAACAAAUAUAAGUAGUAAUACCCAUAAUAAAUAAUUUAUACCCACUAACAUAUGCACUUAAUAUUAAAUUAUUAAUUUAAUAGUAGAAUACAUAUACACCAACAC
rnacentral:lncRNA from 1 species